rnacentral:rRNA from 1 species
GUAGAUAUCUGGAAGAACACCAGUUGCGAAGCCGGUCUCCUGGACCAAUACUGACGCUGAUGCUCGAAAGCUGUGUGACCGAACAGGAUUAGAUACCCUGGUAGUCCCAGCCGUAAACGAUGGACACUAGUUGCCGGAGGAGUCAAUCCCUUCGGUGACGAAGCUAACGCAUUAAGUGUCCCGCCUGGGGAGUACGCUCGCAAGGGUGAAACUCAAAGGAAUUGACGGGGGCCCGCACAAGCGGUGGAGCAUGUGCUUUAAUUCGAUGCAACGCGAAGAACCUUACCUGGGUUUGACAUGGGGGUGAAAGUUUCCAGAGAUGGAAGCCUUUCCUUCGGGAACACCCCACACAGGUGCUGCAUGGUUGUCGUCAGCUCGUGUCGUGAGAUGUUGGGUUAAGUCCCGCAACGAGCGCAACCCCUGCCCUUAGUUGCCAUCAGGUAAAGCUGGGAACUCUAAGGGGACAGCUUGGUAUAACCAGGAGGAAGGUGGGGAUGACGUCAAAUCAUCAUGGCUCUUACGCCCAGGGCUAGACACGUGCUACAAUGGCAGGUACAGUGGGAUGCCAGCCUGCGAAGGUGAGCUAAUCCCUUAAAACCUGUCUCAGUCCGGAUUGGAGUCUGCAACUCGACUCCAUGAAGUUGGAAUCGCUAGUAAUCGCGGAUCAGCACGCCGCGGUGAAUACGUUCCCGGGCCUGUACACACCGCCCGUCAAGCCAUGAAAGGCGGUAGUACCCGAAGUCGCGUACCCAACCGUGAGGAGGGAAGCGCCGAAGGUAAGACUGCUACUUGGGGCUAAGUCGU